rnacentral:rRNA from 1 species
GAUGAACGCUGGCGGCGUGCCUAAUACAUGCAAGUCGAGCGAACAGACGAGGAUCUUGCUCCGCUCACGUUAGCGGCGGACGGGUGAGUAACACGUGGAUAACCUACCUAUCAGACUGGGAUAACUUCGGGAAACCGGAGCUAAUACCGGAUAAUAUAUUGAACCGCAUGGUUCAAUAGUGAAAUACGGUUUUUCUGGCUCGUAUAGCUGGAUCCCCGCCGCAUUAGCUGGUUGGUAAGGUAACGGGUUACCAAGGCAAGGAUGCGUGGCCGACGUGAGAGGGUGAUAGGCCACACUGGAACUGGGACACGGUCAAGACGACUACGGGACGCAGCAGAAGGGAAUCUUACGCAAUGGGCGAAAGCCUGACGCAGCAACGCGGCGUGAGUGAUAAAGGCCUUCGGAUCGUAAAACCCUGUUAUUAGGGAAGAACAAAUGUGGACGUAACUAUGCACGUAUUGACGGUAACUAAUCAGAAAGCCCCGGCUAACUACGUG